GACGAGAAGGGACUAUCGAUGGUAAGCCAACGACGAGGAAAACAAUUUCAAAGACGACUAAACUCUGACCCAACCCAAAGAGAUUCAGUUGCUAACAUGAGCCGAAAUCUAAGGAAAAAGAGGAGAAAAAGGUGAGGAAAAACAAGAGCACAUAUGUGAGUCUUUUUCGGUGAUGGCGAGAAUCACAACAUAACGGAAAGGUAAACGAAAUGCAUAGAUGGUGACGGCU
rnacentral:lncRNA from 1 species